GUGAGGAAUAUUGGUCAAUGGGCGAGAGCCUGAACCAGCCAAGUCGCGUGAAGGAAGAAGGAUCUAUGGUUCGUAAACUUCUUUUGCAGGGGAAUAAAGUGCAGGACGUGUUCUGUUUUGUAUGUACCCUGAGAAUAAGGAUCGGCUAACUCCGUGCCAGCAGCCGCGGUAAUACGGAGGAUCCGAGCGUUAUCCGGAUCUAUUGGGUUUAAAGGGUGCGUAGGUGGGUUGAUAAGUCAGCGGUGAAAGUUUGCAGCUUAACUGUAAAAAUGCCGUUGAAACUGUCGGACUUGAGUGUAAAUGAGGUAGGCGGAAUGCGUGGUGUAGCGGUGAAAUGCAUAGAUAUCACGCAGAACUCCGAUUGCGAAGGCAGCUUACUAAGCUACAACUGACACUGAAGCACGAAAGCGUGGGGAUCAAACAGGAUUAGAAACCCGAGUAGUCC
rnacentral:rRNA from 1 species